CAUGUUUGGUAUAAAAUGUUGAUAAUUUUUGGAGGUCGUUCUCAGUCAUUCUCUAACAUUCUAAACCAAACAUGAGGAUUGAAAGUACACAGCUCUGGUACAAUUUUWAWUKGGUCUUUUAACUAUUCAGAGAUGAUUUCCAAACGUUGUUGWGUSACUUAAGGGUSCUUCUGGCUUUGUAUGUCGGUAUAAUACAUUCAGUUCAACUAUAGAUACUAAGCUGCUUGACUUUCAACUACAAAUACUGAAAACGUGAAGUUGCAACAAGCAAACUUUUAUUUAAUUCAUUUAAAUUAAAUGUCAUAUAGUAGAAUCAAGUCUAUGUUGCUUCUGUAAUAGUUUUGAGSAAAGUAUCAAACAUCUAUUUUGUUCCUGCUGUCACGUACAUAUUGUGUGGAACAUUGUAUCCAGAUAAUAAAGGGAAACGGUUAUACUCUUACAUAAGAAUUUUAAUUAUUCAAUSAUAAGUAAUGGGAUACCGUGUGGUAUCAGUGAAAUAAAAUCUCAUAUCUUCACUGGUUAUCUCUGUACUGCAGUGAAAGAUAUAANCUCCGCCCCAGCGCUCAGAACGCAUGUGAACUACUUUCANCCAACUCUAAAUUGUCUGUAACGUUUUUAGUUUUUAACGGAAANCAUANUCAUGUGKAUAUGCAUUUUCUUAGUUAGACCAUUUCCUACAUGUUGGUGUAUGNUUUGAUGCAAAAUUCUNAAAAAAGAAGUUUUUCAUUUUCUUGAUAAGUCAUCAAAUCCAAGAAGGCGGCUUUUNAAACUGNAAAUUGAUUACUGGAACAAUGUAUUCAUCCGNACAUAACAACAGUGUGGAACGUUUCGCAAUUAGUACCAUUUUUAAAACGAUAUUAUGCAUU
rnacentral:sRNA from 1 species